AUUAAACGCUGGCGGCAUGCCUUACACAUGCAAGUCGAACGGCAGCACGGGGGCAACCCUGGUGGCGAGUGGCGGACGGGUGAGUAAUACAUCGGAACGUGCCCUGGAGUGGGGGAUAACGCAGCGAAAGCUACGCUAAUACCGCAUAUUCUGUGAGCAGGAAAGCAGGGGAUCGCAAGACCUUGCGCUUUGGGAGCGGCCGAUGUCGGAUUAGCUAGUUGGUGGGGUAAAGGCCUACCAAGGCGACGAUCCGUAGCGGGUCUGAGAGGAUGAUCCGCCACACUGGGACUGAGACACGGCCCAGACUCCUACGGGAGGCAGCAGUGGGGAAUUUUGGACAAUGGGCGGAAGCCUGAUCCAGCCAUGCCGCGUGAGUGAAGAAGGCCUUCGGGUUGGUUAAAGGAC
rnacentral:rRNA from 1 species